GUCGCAGUGCAUUGUGGGAUUGCCUUUUGUGCAAAGGAUACAUGGAUUUUGACCCAAAUGAGGACGUCCAUGAGGUCUUGUAAGCUGUGCAAGAGCAACUUUUGAGCAUUCAGAGUUUCUUCUGGGAGACACAUCUGAGAGUUACUUUAAAGACUCUGAGAACUCCAUUAAGUCUCCUGAGCUGUGAAAGAGC